GGGCCCGCACAAGCGGUGGAGCAUGUGGUUUAAUUCGAUGAUACGCGAGGAACCUUACCAAGGCUUAAAUGUAAAACGACCAGUUGAGAAAUCAACUUUUUUUCGAACGGUUUACAAGGUGCUGCAUGGUUGUCGUCAGCUCGUGCCGUGAGGGUGUCGGGGUUAAGUCCCAUAACGAGCGCAACCCCUAUCUUUAGUUACCAGCGAGUAAUGUCGGGAACUCUAAAGAAACUGCCCGUGCAAACGGAGAGGAAGGUGGGGAUGACGUCAAAUCAUCACGGCCCUUAUGUCUUGGGCUACACACGUGCUACAAUGGUUAUUACAAUGAGAUGCAAACUGGUGACAGUAAGCUAA
rnacentral:rRNA from 1 species